rnacentral:tRNA from 1 species
GGGCAUACAGCUAAGUGGUAGAGUGUGUGCUUAGCAUGCACAAGGUCCUGGGUUCAAUCUCCAGGACCUCCA